UACGUAGGUGGCAAGCGUUAUCCGGAUUUAUUGGGCGUAAAGGGAACGCAGGCGGUCUUUUAAGUCUGAUGUGAAAGCCUUCGGCUUAACCGGAGUAGUGCAUUGAAACUGGGAGACUUGAGUGCAGAGGAGGAGAGUGGAACUCCAUGUGUAGCGGUGAAAUGCGUAGAUAUAUGGAAGAACACCAGUGGCGAAAGCGGCUCUCUGGUCUGUAACUGACGCUGAGGUUCGAAAGCGUGGGUAGCAAACAGG
rnacentral:rRNA from 1 species